rnacentral:misc_RNA from 1 species
GAUAGAAUGUAUUAUUUCUUCAAGCAAGACGAAAAAAUGAAAAUGAAAAUGAAAAUGCCAGUGGUAAGGUAUCUGCUUGGUAGAAUUUUGAUACACCUCAGGUUCCAAGACCAUUGGAUCAAAGAUCAUUUAAAAAAAGUCAAGGUCAAACAAUAUGCACCAACUACCUCAUUUCUCUUCCAAAAGUAAUGAUGUGCAAGAAAGGAGGGAGGACAACUCCUCUUUUGUAGCCAAUCCAAAGCCUUGCCAUCUUAUUCUACCAAAUUUGUCAAGUAGGAAAAUGUACCCAGUAAGAAGGUUCAGUAUUUUAAGUUCUUUUCUAAAGUAAUAAUGGUCACCAAAAGAAUAACCAAUCUGCUUUUGAAGUUCAUUGUUUCCGUCAGUAAUGGAUUUCCUCAUUAUCCGAAGCAGGAACUUCUUGAUUGGAUUCCGACAUAGGAGCCAUGAGUCUAUAAAUGACACCUCAUACAGAUGAAUAUAUUUCGCAUCGUGAAAUGUAUCGAUGAAAGGCAUGGUCCAGGAGUCAAUCAUGGCCUGUUGAGAAAAAAAUAAUGUUACAUUGUAACACAAACAAUAUACAACAAGACUAACCAGCAAAUUCAAGUUGUGAUAGCAUCUAGUAAAUUUUAAUUCUGAAAUCCUAGGCACUAGCUUUGUAAGAACAACAAAGGAAAAGGCAGUAAAGUGAGUUGGAACCUAACAAGCUAUUUUGAAUAUAACCCAAUCAUGAAAGAGAUUUGAUACUUUUCAUUUAUGACUUGGCUUGCAGUUUUUGUUAUAUUUGUUCUCCCCAUAGUUCCAGGCCAGUUCAAGCCUGUGGACCCAUUGAUCCGUUCCGGUCCCAGUUUUGACCAGGCUGAUUCUGGUCUGAUUUCGGGCCAAAACCAGCCCUUGGCCACCCCUACAUUAUACAAUCUUUAUGACAAUUGGGUCCAUUUGGAUCACUGAAUUGGAUUUGGAAUUGUAAUUGGAAUUCUAAUUUUAUCAGAACUGGAAUUGGGUCAUAAUUACAAUUCUGAUGUUUGGAUUAUAUAGGAAUUCUAAAUGGAAUUAUGAUUUGUAAUUUCAAGUUCAAAUCUAAUUUCAUAAUCAUGAUGUCUAAAGUGUCAUGUAACAGUUAGAUUAAAAACAUGUCUAGCAGUAGAAAAAGAGCCUGAAUACAUUAUGGUCACGACACCUUAUCAUGUUAUCCAUCACCAAGCCAACUAUGUUCAGAUGUGAGCCAAAAACCUGGGAAAUAUUUGUCAUUGCAGAUUUUAUUUUCUUCCCCUUCUCCAUUUCUUCUUGAUCCUUUUUCAUAUUUCUUUUUACCUUUUUGUCACUCAAUUGUAGUACUUAUAGUUGUCUAAUUUGCAAUGGAAAGAACUCUUAAAUCCAAAUUAGAACAUUCUACAUUUUUCAUAAUAAAUCAAAUAAUAAGAUAUGCAAGGAAACACCAUGAUGGGUGUAUAAUAUGAUCCAACCAAAGGAUGUUCAAAUUCCAUACCAUACCUGAGAGCUGGCUCGAAAUGAAAGACACAGUAAAGAUGCUUUAGGAAUAGUUGAUGACUCAGCAUCAGCCACAUUUCUAUUGGACCCAAAAGGCAACUUUAAAGUUUUACCAUCAGAAAAGCUCACUUCUAAGUUUGGAAACUUCACGGCUGCCAUUGCAGGAAUUAUAAUUUUAUUUGCCAUUGCAAUCUUACCACCAUGUUGCUUGAGCUCUGCCAUAUCAGCAAAAUAACCCCUAUUCAUCUCAUCUUUAAGCCUUGCACGCUCUUUCUCAAUAGCUGCUUUGUUUCCAAGCUGGUAAAUGUCAAGGAAGCGAUUGGAGGUCAUUUGGAAGAAACGCAUAGAAGGCAGAGGAUCAAAGAACCUCUCUUCUUGUUGCUGUUUUUGACGUAAGAGGAGUGAAGCUCUGGUUGAGUUAUUGGUGUGUUUUAUGAAUCGAUUUAGUCUCAACAUGUUUCGAUCGGAAUUUGGAUGCUAUCCCUGUGAGGAACUCUAAAUUCGAGAAUUGAAUCUUUGUUUUCUUCAACAAGCGGAGGACUAUAUCGUGGUGACUGUCGAUAAAC